UGCGCAGGCGGUUCCAUAAGACAGAUGUGAAAUCCCCGGGCUCAACCUGGGAACUGCAUUUGUGACUGUGGAGCUAGAGUACGGUAGAGGGGGAUGGAAUUCCGCGUGUAGCAGUGAAAUGCGUAGAUAUGCGGAGGAACACCAAUGGCGAAGGCAAUCCCCUGGACCUGUACUGACGCUCAUGCACGAAAGGCUGGGGAGCAAACA
rnacentral:rRNA from 1 species